GAUGAACGCUGGCGGCGUGCCUAAUACAUGCAAGUCGAGCGAACAGAUGAGAAGCUUGCUUCUCUGAUGUUAGCGGCGGACGGGUGAGUAACACGUGGGUAACCUACCUAUAAGACUGGGAUAACUCCGGGAAACCGGGGCUAAUACCGGAUAAUAUUUUGAACCGCAUGGUUCAAUAGUGAAAGACGGUUUCGGCUGGCACUUAUAGAUGGACCCGCGCCGUAUUAGCUAGUUGGUAAGGUAACGGCUUACCAAGGCGACGAUACGUAGCCGACCUGAGAGGGUGAUCGGCCACACUGGAACGGAGACACGGUCCAGACUCCUACGGGAGGCAGCAGUAGGGAAUCUUCCGCAAUGGGCGAAAGCCUGACGGAGCAACGCCGCGUGAGUGAUGAAGGUCUUCGGAUCGUAAAACUCCGUUGUUAGGGAAGAACAAAUUUGUUAGUAACUGAACAAGUCUUGACGGUACCUAACCAGAAAGCCACGGCUAACUACGUGCCAGCCGCCGCCGUAA
rnacentral:rRNA from 1 species